rnacentral:rRNA from 1 species
UACGGGGGGGGCAAGCGUUGUUCGGAAUUACUGGGCGUAAAGGGCUCGUAGGUGGCCAACUAAGUCGGACGUGAAAUCCCUCGGCUUAACCGGGGAACUGCGUCUGAUACUGGAUGGCUUGAGUUCGGGAGAGGGAUGCGGAAUUCCAGGUGUAGCGGUGAAAUGCGUAGAUAUCUGGAGGAACACCGGUGGCGAAAGCAGGCUACUGGACCGUCACUGACUCUGAUCUGCGAAAGCUAGGGGAGCAACAGGG